GACGAACGCUGGCGGCGUGCUUAACACAUGCAAGUCGAACGGAAAGGCCCUGCGUUUGCGGGGUUCUCGAGUGGCGAACGGGGGAGUAACACGUGAGUAAACUGCACUUGACUGUGGGAUAACAUCAGGAAACUGGGGCUAAUACAGGAUAGGAGCUCCUGCUGCACGGUGGUGGUUGGAAAGUUUCGGCGGUGGGGGCUGGACUCGCGGCUUAUCAGCUUGCUGGUGAGGUAGUGGCUUCCCACGGCUUUGACGGGUAGCCGGCCUGAGAGCGUGACCGGCCUCCUUGCUCCUGCGAUACGCCCCAGACUCCUAUGGGCCGCAGCAGUGGGGAAUCUUGCGCAAUGGGCGGAAGCCUGAUGCAGCAGCCCCGCGUGCGGGAUGCCGGCUUUCGGGUUGUAAACCGCUUUCGCAUUUGCCGAAGCGUGCGUGACGGUACUGGGUCAAGAAGCCCCGGCUAACUACGUG
rnacentral:rRNA from 1 species